UACACGGACUUGCUAGCCAGUGUUGUCCGUCUCUCACUGGCUCGCGGGCCACGCGGUUUAUCGCACGCACGUCCACCGCUGUGUGCUGCGCUCGGAGACAGGCAGCCGACUUUAAUUUCAUAAUUCGAUGAUUUGCCCAGUCGAGUGAUAACGACUUUUCGUUGUCAACACACGCGUGCACUCACAUGUCGGACGGGAAGAGCUCGCGCUGCUGGACCAAUAUUUAUUAGCUGGUGUCGUCGAAUGAUUCACAUGAAAGUGCAAUAUUAAAUAUCAAAGAGAACGAUAUACUUUACUCUUCGUUCCUUUUUUUUCUUUUUCUUUCUUCUUUUUUUUGGUUUUAUUUUGUUUUUUCCUUUUUUUUUACUUCGUUUGGAGAACAAAGUGCUCUAACAAUCGACUCUACGAUUGCUUAUACGCGUGUGACAAUCUACGAUCACGAGUUUACACUUAAUUUUGAGAACCUGGACAACGAAAAGGAAGCUGCUCAUUGCGGUGGCUUUCAAACCAAAGAGAGCAAUCCCGCGCUCACGACGCCCGUCGGCGGAUCUUGUGACCCGGAGUGCAGAAAGGCCCGAAGAUUCUGCCGUCGCAGCAGCUCGGCGCUGCGGUCGCUCCAUGGCCGGGCGCCACCGGCCUCCUCGCCUCCGUUACCGCUGACGACAUGGCACAUAAGGAGUACGACGUGAUUUCAGGUCACAGCGGUGUCAACCAGCUGGGAGGGGUGUUCGUAGGAGGUCGUCCACUACCGGACUCGACCCGACAGAAGAUCGUCGAGCUGGCGCACUCGGGUGCACGGCCGUGCGACAUCUCGCGCAUCCUGCAGGUCAGCAAUGGAUGCGUCUCCAAGAUCCUCGGCAGGUACUAUGAGACGGGCUCGAUAAGGCCGCGGGCCAUCGGCGGCAGCAAGCCCCGAGUGGCCACAGCCGAGGUCGUCAACAAGAUAUCCCUCUACAAGAGCGAAUGCCCGUCGAUCUUCGCCUGGGAGAUCAGGGAUCGGCUGCUGCAAGAGGGCGUCUGCACCAACGAUAACAUUCCCAGCGUAUCGUCCAUCAACAGGGUCUUGCGAAACUUGGCCGCGCAAAAAGAACAGCGCCAGCAGCAGCAGCAGCAGCAGCAGCAGCAGAGCGCCGUGGGAGGCGUUGGCGUAGGCGUAGGCGCGACCAGUCCCGCGGAAAGUGUCUACGACAAGCUGAGGUUGCUCAACGGCCAGACCAGCGGCUGGCCGAGGCCCAACCCAUGGUAUCCGUCCGGAGCAGGCAGUCCUUUCUCCUCGUUGCAACCGAGCUUAAGCCCGAGCCAUUGUACGGCUUUGCCUCCCGAUCCCGCGGAUAUUCUGCACGCAAAGAAAGUAGCCGAGCUGGAAGGUGGCGCGCACUCGGACGAGACCAACAGCGGCGGUGACAACAGCAACGCCGGCAGCGUGUCCGGCGGCACGGACGACGACCAGGCACGACUGCGCCUCAAGCGCAAGCUGCAGCGCAAUCGCACGAGUUUCAGCAACGAGCAGAUCGACGCGCUCGAGAAGGAGUUCGAACGAACUCACUAUCCAGAUGUGUUCGCUAGGGAACGGCUUGCCGGGAAAAUUGGCCUGCCCGAGGCUAGGAUACAGGUCUGGUUUUCGAAUCGGCGCGCAAAGUGGCGUCGCGAAGAAAAACUACGCACGCAGCGCAGGGACAAUCCGCAGCAGCCGCAGCCGCAACAACAGCAACAGCAGCAGCAGCAGCAGCAGCAGCAGCAGCACGGCGUGCCGCUCGGACACCCGACGCCACCGCCGUCUUCGGGUAUUCUGGGCGCACAGCCGCCACAAGCGCCUUCGCCGCCGAGGAUACACCACGGAUUCGCGCCGUCGGUUUACCCGGGCAUCCCCAGCAUGCCCGACUCGUACAGCUCGAUGACGUCGAUGUCGUCGUUCGCGAUGUCCGGCAGCGGCGGCGGCGGCGGCGGCGGCGGCGGGGCCAACAGCAGCAACGGCGCGGACGCAAACGGCCAGCAGCAGCAGCAGCAGCAGCAGCAGCAGCACCAGUCGCACGGCGCCUCGAUGUCGCCGAUGUCGUCGCUGUCCAGCGGCGGCGGCAACGUCGCGUCCAACCCGAGCCCCUCGGGAAUGAGCCCCAUGGGCAUGAGCGUGGGCAUGAGCGUGGGCCCGUCACCAGGACCGGCCUGUCUGCAGCAGCGCGACAACGGUUACUCGUGCGCCGUGGGCGUCGGUCGUGCGACCGGUUACGAACCGCUUCACCUCGGCUACGGCACGCGGCCGUCGUGCAGCCCCACGCAACCCUACCACGCCGCGGCCGCGGCCGCGGCUGCGGCCGGGCUCAACCAAUACGGACACCACAUGCAGAACCACCACCACCACCACCACCACCCGGCCAGCUCGACCGGUGAGUGUCUGCCGCACUCGCUGCACUCGCUGCUUGCCCUCUAGCCCAAGGACCAUCACUACCACCACGUCGGAUACUACCGCUACUGAUCUCGCCCGCUCGCUCGGCUCCUCCUCUAUCGAACGCCACACAAACCGCAUCUCUCACCUACCCGAGCUACUGCUACCACCAGAUUGAUAUAAACCUGCGCUACAUAUAUAUUACGCGACCGGCGGCCAGCGCAGUCCGCGCGUGCACCUUCUUGUUGAUGUAUUAGUCGUGAAACAAACACGAACGUGAGCGAACGACCGAGCGGCCACGUACACAUUCUUCUCCUACUCUCGCUGCUACUGUCUUUGCCGAACAAACAAAUAGCCACCUUGUUUUUGUGUUGCGGAUCAGUUAUUCAGUCCAAACCAAACCUCAGAUAUACUCGUCGAUCGAUAUGGAUGCCGACGCUGCGCUCUCCCACUGCCUUGGCCUAAUAUCGCCAGGCGUGAGCGUACCAAUCGCAGUGCCAGGACAACCCGGGCCGGACAUGGCAGCGCAAUACUGGUCCCCGAGGUUGCAGUGACCGUGGUAUUCGUCUACAUCGAUCAUUUCGUAAAAAUAAUCAGACGGUCAGCAUCGCCACCGUCACUUUGGUCCAAAGAAUUUUAUUUUACGGCACUUCUCAUUGCAAUGUACAGCUCUAUGUCUACAUGCUUUCUCUCAAAGCACAAAAAACGCAAUGGACAAUUCCGAUUGAGUUUAUCGUUCACAAUCAGAAUUACGAUUGCGAUGUCAGACGUAUUAGAUCGCGAACGUACUAGAUUUCAUGGAAUCACGGUGCCUUACGUGUUUCAAUGGAAUUCAAUAUAUCGAAAUUUCGUUUAUUUCGAUAAAAUCGUGCUUCAUUCAGUUUCUUUGCCUGCAAUAGAUUUUGCACAAAUCGCUGUAAUUAUUAUUCUUCAAUUAGAUGGCUUACUUAUACGUAAGGUAGGCAUUGAACGAAGAAGUAUUUUAAGUAAAUAAUGAAUUGAAAGUAAAAAAUUAAAGGCGAAAGUUUUCGGCAUGUGGUGAUUUUUACGAUAGAAGUUUGUGAAAAAAAAAAAUAAUAAAAUCCCUUUAUCGUUAAGGAUCCGUCGAUUGAGUAUUGUACAGUAAAAAUAAUUUUGAUGAGAGGCGCAAAUGCGUCAGCCAAUGUGUAUGUAACUUAGUGAUUUAGUUAGAAAAAAUUUGUCGAGAGCCGCAGCGGCACACGUUGGUACAAAUUUCAAGGUUUGUCUGUUAUCAAUAUAAUUCUAUUGUUUGUCGCCGAUACUUAUUAUUUUUCAAUGUUUCGAUGAGUUCAAAUUGAACAGUGAAGAAUAAAACUUAGAUUAUUAUAUCGCAAGUGUUAAAAAGUGUAAAAAAUGCGAUCUAAUGCUGUAUAAAUAUGGUGAACGUUCGAAUGUCAUGUAUGUAUAUUAUUCAACGGAUAGGAAGUUGCAUUACUUCUUUUAAACGAUUCUGUUCACCAUCAUUUACUUUGUCAUGUUUGUAGUAAAGCAACUUUUCUUUGAUUAUAAUUGCUUGCAAUCGUCACAUUCGUCACCUCUAUCGAUUCAUUCCCUUAUAAUAGUUGCGCAUAGAGUAAUCAAAUAAAAAAUAAUAAUAGAAAAAAUAGUUUCUAAGUGGACAUUGCCAACAUAAUUUAUAUUCGUGUAACGAAUGGAGUUAAAAACCAUGGACGUUUGUUAAUGUGCAUACCGUAAAGAAGAAAAAAAAAUUGGCAGUCAUUUAUAUGGCUAAUUCCACUAAAAAAUGCAUUCAUUCGGCUCCAUUUUUUUUUCGAAUGUUCGAAUAGCGCUUCCACCAAAUGUUUAGGCUAAACGCUCUUAAUUUUCGGAUUUUCUUAUUUCAAGUAAUGUGGCCCACCAAAAAUCAUUUUAUUCUUCGCCGCGCAUAGUUGUGAUACCCUUUUUACCCAGAGAAGAGUUCUGACAUUUUGAUGACUUUCAUAUAGUUUUUAGAAUUGAAAAACAAACUUCGAAAUCAGCCGUAGUAAGGUAUGUAUCGAGUCAAAUGACAUAUAGUUACUGUAAGGCUGCUCUUUCCUAUACGAACGAUUACUUACUGCAAGAAGUCUAAUUGAUACUUGUUUGCUUUGUACGUUCAGAUUAUUAAUAAAUAUUUUGGACACAGCAAUCAAGGCUUCGUUUUGAUAAAAUUAAUUAAUCAGUACAUGUCAAUUUUGAAGGGUUGAAAUGUUCUGUCAAAAAUAAACGAAGAUACAGUUUUUGACAUAUUUUUAAUUAAUAUUUAAAUUUUUAUUGAACUUGAAGAAACCACGAGAUAUUUAUAUGAUGUAUUUUUAUCGACGUAUAACGAUAUAAAAGGGGUAUCACGAGAAUUAGCGAUGAGGGGCACACGAAAGUUUUACCAAGACUGUGUAUUCAACUAGAAAAUCUGGCAAAACCGUGCCAAAUUAAUGCAAUUUUUUGUGUGGAACAGGCCACGGUAUAAACACAUAAAAAAUAUAUCUAUAUAUAAAUAUAGUUGAUGCUGAUCCCUAGCAUUCUACUGAGAUCGACUUUUAAUUUAUACCCGGUGCAAGUUUAACGUAUAUGGAUAAAGAGAAUAAAAUAAAAAAAAAAGAAUAUGUAUAAUAUGGUGAAAAGACAAUUGUGAUUUCUUCUUAGGCCAAGUAUAUGUAUAUAUAUAUACAUAUAUAUAUGUAUGUGUCUGUGUGUAUAUAUAUGUGUGUAUAUAUAUAAUUUCCGCGUACGAUUAUACAAUCAAAAUAAAUUAGUGUAAUUAACCCGCAAUCCAAAGAUUCUUUUUUGUCCUUCUGCACCAUGCUUAUUUAAAUGCGUUAUCUUAUUUGUUGUAUUGUAGUGUUAUAUAAAUAAGUGAAGGGGAAACAAAAAACUAAACGCAGUUUAUAAUUUGAAA